GAGAGAGAGAGAGAGUGAGAGAUAACCUGUUCUAUCGUAAGGAAGAGAGGGUGUCGUCUGUCUCUGUGAUGAGGAAGAGUGGUGCUGCUGCUUUUUCGCGUGAGUUAAGUGGUAAGGUUUUAUUGAUUUUUCUUUUAAAAAAUAAUAAAAAAAACUUAUCGUUGCAUUAAUGAGGCGUCGUCUCUCGCUUACUUCGCCUCUCGCCUCGUCAGCCUGAGGUGUCGCCUCUCGAAAGUGCAGCCAAGCAUUCUAGUCGAGGUGGCAGACGGGCGCCAAGCGAGGCUAGGCGCCUCGCCUGGGUGCCUCGCCUGGUUGCCUCUUUUGCCUUUGAUAACACUGGAUUGAGGCAUCAAUUUUCUGAGGGACAACCGAGGGACUUGAUUGAUGCACUCAAAUUUCCGAUAGGAUCGUGGAUGACAACUUAAUCUUUGCAGAUAUUGGACAAUCGUCAUCACUAUAGUCUAAUGUCUAGGUUUGGAUAGUAGGUACGUAAGGAGAAGGUGUUAGACACCCUUUAUGCCUGGCCUAACCUCGUUAAUUCGAGUGUCAGUCCUCUACUAAUGUUUUUAGUAGUCUUGUUUAUUAUUUCUCUAUUAAACUUUAUCCUGAAAAUGCAAUUAUAGUCUUACACACAAGUAAUUUACAAAAGGUUUAUUGUUUACAAACAGUUUUCAUGUACAAGUAAUUCCUAUCUAUGGGGU
rnacentral:misc_RNA from 1 species